ACAGUGGACGCGAGCAUCUGUGGCCAAGUUUUUAAGGGCGCACGGUGGAUGCCUUGGCACCAGGAACCGAUGAAGGACGUGGGAGGCCGCGAUAGGCCCCGGGGAGCUGUCAACCGAGCUUUGAUCCGGGGGUGUCCGAAUGGGGAAACCCGGCAGUCGUCAUGGGCUGUCACCCGCACCUGAAUGUAUAGGGUGUGUGGAGGGAACGCGGGGAAGUGAAACAUCUCAGUACCCGCAGGAAGAGAAAACAACAGUGAUUCCGGGAGUAGUGGCGAGCGAAACUGGAUGAGGCUAAACCGUAUGUGUGUGAUACCCGGCAGGGGUUGCGCAUGCGGGGUCGUGGGAGUUCUCUUGACUGUUCUGCCGGACGGUCGGCGAGUAAGAAAUUGUGGGUGUAGGCGAAGGGCAUGCGAAAGGCCCGGCGUAGAGGGUAAGACCCCCGUAGCUGAAAUAUCUGCAACUCGUUUGAGUACCACCCAAGUAGCAUGGGGCCCGAGAAAUCCUGUGUGAAUCUGGCGGGACCACCCGUCAAGCCUAAAUAUUCCCUGGUGACCGAUAGCGGAUAGUACCGUGAGGGAAUGGUGAAAAGUACCGCGGGAGCGGAGUGAAAUAGUACCUGAAACCGUGUGCCUACAAGCCGUGGGAGCGUCGC
rnacentral:rRNA from 1 species